rnacentral:rRNA from 1 species
GACGAACGCUGGCGGCGUGCUUAACACAUGCAAGUCGAACGGAAAGGCCCUGCUUGCAGGGUACUCGAGUGGCGAACGGGUGAGUAACACGUGGGUGAUCUGCCCUGCACUUCGGGAUAAGCCUGGGAAACUGGGUCUAAUACCGGAUAGGAGCCAUUUUUAGUGUGAUGGUUGGAAAGUUUUUUCGGUGUAGGAUGAGCUCGCGGCCUAUCAGCUUGUUGGUGGGGUAAUGGCCUACCAAGGCGGCGACGGGUAGCCGGCCUGAGAGGGUGGACGGCCACAUUGGGACUGAGAUACGGCCCAGAUUCCUACGGGAGGCAGCAGUGGGGAAUAUUGCACAAUGGGCGCAAGCCUGAUGCAGCGACGCCGCGUGGGGGAUGACGGCCUUCGGGUUGUAAACUCCUUUCGCUAGGGACGAAGCUUUUUGUGACGGUACCUAGAGAAGAAGCACCGGCUAACUACGUG